rnacentral:rRNA from 1 species
AGAGUUUGAUCAUGGCUCAGAAUGAACGCUGGCGGCGCGCCUAAUACAUGCAAGUCGAGCGAGAAGACGUAGCAAUACGUUUGUAAAGCGGCGAACGGGUGAGGAAUACAUGGGUAACCUACCCUAGAGUGGGGAAUAACUAGCCGAAAGGUUAGCUAAUACCGCGUACGCUCCUUGGACUUCGGUUCAGGGAGGAAAGCGCUACCGAGGGUAGCGCGCUCUUGGUUGGGCUCAUGUCCUAUCAGCUUGUUGGUGAGGUAACGGCUCACCAAGGCUUCGACGGGUAGCUGGUCUGAGAGGACGAUCAGCCACACUGGCACUGCGACACGGGCCAGACUCCUACGGGAGGCAGCAGUAAGGAAUAUUGCGCAAUGGGCGAAAGCCUGACGCAGCGACGCCGCGUGGGAGAUGAAGGUCUUCGGAUUGUAAACCCCUUUCGGGAGGGAAGAUGGAAUGGGGUAACCCAUUCGGACGGUACCUCCAGAAGCAG